rnacentral:rRNA from 1 species
UACGUAGGGGGCAAGCGUUGUCCGGAAUCAUUGGGCGUAAAGAGCGUGUAGGCGGUCCGGUAAGUCCGCUGUGAAAGUCGGGGGCUCAACCCUCGGAUGCCGGUGGAUACUGUCGGGCUUGAGUACGGAAGAGGCGAGUGGAAUUCCUGGUGUAGCGGUGAAAUGCGCAGAUAUCAAGGAAGAACACCCGUGGCGAAGGCGGCUCCACUGGCCCGAUACUGACGCUGAGGCACGAAAGCGUGGGGAGCAAACAGG